CAGGUGUUAGUUUUAUAAAAAUUUCGGUUUUGGGGACCGAAGAUGGAAAAGUUUUCCACUCCUGA
rnacentral:tRNA from 1 species